rnacentral:rRNA from 1 species
UACGGGGGGAGCAAGCGUUGUUCGGAUUUACUGGGCGUAAAGGGCGCGUAGGCGGCGCAACAAGUCACUUGUGAAAUCUCCGGGCUUAACCCGGAGCGGUCAAGUGAUACUGUCGUGCUAGAGUGCGGAAGGGGCUACUGGAAUUCUCGGUGUAGCGGUGAAAUGCGUAGAUAUCGAGAGGAACACCUGCGGCGAAGGCGGGUAGCUGGGCCGACACUGACGCUGAUGCGCGAAAGCCAGGGAGCGAACGGG